GACGAACGCUGGCGGCGUGCUUAACACAUGCAAGUCGCACGAAGUGGCGAACGGGUGAGUAACGCGUAAUCAACCUGCCCUUCAGAGGGGGACAACAGUUGGAACGACUGCUAAUACAGCUUCCUGAAGGAGGGGUUUGCGUCUGAUUAGCUAGUUGGAGGGGUAACGGCCCACCAAGGCGAUGAUCAGUAGCCGGUCUGAGAGGAUGAACGGCCACAUGUGGAAUGAGACACUGCCCAGACUCCUAAGGGAGGCAGCAGUGGGGAACCUUCCGCAAAGGACGAAAGUCUGACGGAGCAACGCCGCGUGAGUGAUGACGGCCUUCGGGUUGGAAAGCUCUGUUAAGCGGGACGCGGUACCGGAAUAGAAAGCCACGGCUAACGACGUGCCAGCAGCCGCGGUAAUAC
rnacentral:rRNA from 1 species